rnacentral:lncRNA from 1 species
GAACCAGGGCUCUUUCCUACACUCCUCUUCACAUUCCCGACUUACACGCAGAGGGAAAGAGAAUUCAUAAAGGGAAUAUUUUUCUGCCUUUGAAGAUAUUCUCACAAGAUCGUUCUCCACGCCCAAGCUGGGAUUCUGUCCCUGACCGUCUUCACAGUCCAGGUGAUCUUGACUACUGCUUUACAGAGAAUUGGAUCUGAGGUGUGGAAACAGGAAGAGAACUAGAACUGGAAGUAAAGCAUUGAAGAUGUGACUGAAUUGCUGCAAUCUCAUGAUCAAAUUUGAAUGGAUGAGGAGUUGCUUUUUAGGGAUGAGCAAAGAAAGUGGUUUCUCGAGAUGGAAUCUACUGGUGAAGUUGCUGUGAACAUUGUUAAAAUGCCAAUAAAGGAUUUAGGAAUUACAGAAACCUGGUUGAUAAAGCAGUGCCAGGGUGUGAGAGAGUUGACUUCAAUUUUGAAAUAAGUUCCACUGGCUGGGUGUGGUGGCUCACACCUGCAAUCCCAGUACUUUAGGAGGCCGAGACUGGUAGAUCAUUUGAGGUCAGGAGUUCAAGACCAGCCUUGCCAACAUGGUGAAACCCCACCUCUACCAAAUUAGCCAGGUGUGGUGCACACCUGUAGUCCCAGCUACUUGGGAAGCUGAGGCAGGAGAAUCUCUUGAACCAGGGAGGAGGAGGUUGCAGUAAGCCGAGAUGGCGCCCCUGCACUCCAGCCUGGGUGACAGAGUGAGACCUUGCGUUUAAAAAAAAAAAAAAAGGAAAAGGAAAAAAAAGUUCUACUGUGGGUAAAAUGCUAUCAUGCUAUCAAACAGCAUCACAUGCUACAGAGAAGUCUUGUGAAAGGAUGUCAGUGUGGCAAACUUCAUUGUCUUUUAAGAAAUUGCCACAGCUAUCGUAAUCUUCAACCACCACCACCCUGAUGAGUCAGUAGCCAUCGUUAACGUUGGCGUAAGACCCUCCACCAGCAAAAAGAUUGUUAGCAUUUUUUUAGCAGUGAUGUAUUUAUCAAUUAUACAUAAUGCUAUUGUACACUUCUUAAUAGACUAUGGUAUAGUGUAACCAUAAUUUAUGCACUGGGAAACCAACAAAUUCAUGAGAUUCGCUUUAUUGUAGUGCUCUGGAAUUGAGCCUGCCGUGUUUCUGAGGUAUACCUGUGUAUUUAGUAUGUUCCUUGUAUAUAAAACCCCAUUUUAUAGGGUAGGAAACUAAGGCUUAGAGUUUGAGCAAUUUUCCCAUAGAUAACACCAAUAAAUUGAGGGCUGCAGAGACCACUUAAGUGGUUCUCUUAACAGUAGUCUAGACAUGACGUAAUGAGAUUUGGCUUAGGAGUGACAAUGGUAAGGAAGUUAAAGGAUUCAGGAACCAAAUACCAGUUAUUGAGAAGAAAGAAUGGCCUCAAAACAUCACUUCUCAAGGAAGCCUUGAUACCCUCACCCUUACUACACUGUAUCCUCCAUUUGAAUGUUGUCAAGAGCUCUUCUCACAAUUGUAAAUAAUAAUUGUGUAAUUUUGUUUUUUUUUUCCUACUUUAGGUUGCUCCUUGAGGGCAGGACAGUUCUUAUGGCUUUAUCCGUUGCGUAAGCACAGAGAGGUCUGCGAGGUCAAAACUAUUGUCAUGAUAGCAAGAUGCCUGUCUUUUUCAUUUAUUCUCACGGUGUGCAGAGGCUACAUGAUGUGUGAUGACAUCCUCAUUGAUGUUAAUGAAUGGUGCUAUACUUGAAUUUUCUAAGGUGUCAUUAGGUAGGUUUAGGUAUGCAUACUUGUUUUUAGAAAUUAUUUUUUUCCUUUUUCCCAUUUUUAGAAAUCAACUCAUUUUUUAGGUUAUGCCUUCAGUAAUCUUUGCAACCUCAAUAUUGUGUAAUGGUUACUUUAAAAUACUGUAGUUUUCUUUGUGCCUAAGUAUAAACAUAAGUACAUUUUGUUGUUUUGUUUGCAAUAGUGGUUUAAAUAUUUUCCCAAAAUAUCCAAAUUUAAAAAUUCUACAACUUUAGAAUUUAAUAAAUUUAUUCUAAAAUAUUUAUAUAUUUUUUCAUUUAAGAAUGGAUCGGCUUAAAAAGACUGCUUCUCAUUUACUUACUGGCUAUACCAUCUGUAUACUAAUAAAAAACAAGAUUUGAUUUGGAAGGACUGACUCAAACUAACGAAAAUAUGAAACCUGUCUUUCUGCUUUGGAGAUAUUUACCUAAUCAUGUUCUGCAGUAGAAUAAUUUAGUUCUUUUGUCUUUUUUUGGAGAUGAGGUCUUGCUGUGUUGCCCAGGCUAUUCACAGCUGCCAUCAUAGUGAACUACAGCCUGAAACUCCUGGGUUCAAGAGAUCCUUCUGCCUCAGCCUCCUGAGUAGCUGGAACUAUAGGCAUGCGCCACCAAGCCUGGGCUUUUAAAAAAAUUUUAAAAAGAAUUUUGAGACAGGAUCUUGCCAUGUUGCUCAGGCUAGUCUUCAACUCCUAGCCCUGAGUGAUCUUGCUUUGGGCCUCUCAAAAUGUUGAGUUAAUAGGCGUGAGCCACCAUACCCAGCCAAAAAUUUUUUUAGAGAUGGGAAUGGAAUGAUCUUGAAUAGUGUUGGUGCCACCUAUGUUGUGGCAUCAUUUUGAAACCAAUCAUUCAGAGUGCUUUUUUUGGUAAGGCAUUAUUUUUUAAUGCAGGUAUGCCACUACUGGGAAAAAAAAAAAAACAGGUUUUAAAGCUAGAAAUGAAAAGCUACUUAAGUAUCUUAAAGGAUAAGUUACUUUAUUAUACACUAGAAACAUACACAAUAGCUGAAAAACUUAAAAAAUCUCACACUGCUGAAUGUCUCUGCUGGCUGAAGUGUAAGUAAAAGAUCAUAGUAGUGCCGCUGUUGAGUGAUAAAGCAACUUGUCAUUAAAGAUGUGUGUGCAGACAUGGAUUCUGAGUUAAUAUCUCAUCUGUAGAAGUAUAUAUUUGUCCCUUGCUUUGGGAUUGGUUUCUGGACAGCACUCCCCCACCCUUGCUGGCCAUUUGCCAAGGACACCAAAACCCAAGGAUGUUGAAUUCCCUUUUAUAAAAUGGCGCUGUAUCUGCAUACAACUUACACACAUCCUCCCAUAUACUUUAAAUCAUUUCCAGAUUUCUUAUACUUCAUACAAUGUGAAUGCUAUAUAAAUAGUUGUUACAUUGUGUACUUAUAUUUGUACUAUUGUAUUAAAUAUUCUCAAAUAUUUUCAAGCACAUUUGGUUGAAUCUGCAGAUGCAGAACCUGAGGAUAUGGAGGGCUGACUGUGCUAAUACGUUAUCAAUGGAUGCGUGCAUAAACAUGGCUGGACUUGUUACUUGGCUUGUAUUUGCCAGGCAUCAGCACCAACUAGUUAAAGAUACUCUUACGUGAAAGCUUGGCAACAAACACAUGUCCUGAAAUAAUGCAAGUGUAGAAUAACUUUUUAAAAUCUCAUGGUUUAUGCUAAACUAUAUGUUGACAUAAGAGUGGUGAUAAGGCAACAGUAGGUAAAAGUAAAAUUUCAGGCACCUUGGCACAAACUGUGGCAGUGGCAUCAAACUCUAAGUUAUUUUUCACUGCCAUGCAUUUGUGGUGUGAACCCCCACAAAAGAAAAAAACCAGUUUCACUCAAGAAUGUCCUUGUGAAAGCAGUGACAUUUUGUUAAAUCUUAAACCCUACAGUACAUAACUUUUUGAAAUGGUUGUCUCAAGAAAAAGCACUCAUGUAAGCUGAAUUAUCUGCUAUUUCCUUGGAGCCUAACAACUGACAGCAAUUGUUUUCAAUGAUAAAAUCCAAACGUUGAGUCAAAAUCAGAAUUUCGGGAAAACUUGUGUCUAAUAUCAGGAACUUGACAGCUUCCCAAUACUUCAUGAGAUAGUGAUAUUGAAAAUAAUUUUUUUUUUUUUUUGGGACAUCUGGCUGACUGCAACCUCUGUCUCCUGGGUUCAAGCAAUUCUCCUGCCUCAGCCUCCUGCAUAACUGGGACUACAGGUGUGUACCACUGUACCCGGCUAAUUUUUGUAUUUUUAGUAGAGAUGGGGUUUCACCAUGUUGGCCAGGGUGGUCUUGAACUCCUGACCUCAGGUGAUCCACCUUGGCCUCCCAAAGUGCUAGGAUUACAGGUUUAAGCCACUGUGCCCGGCCAAUGAUAUUUUAGGUAGUAUACAGUAAAAUGGGCCAACAUUUGGGAGAUUGACAUAACUCAGUGAAGCUAUAUUUUCCUAAUGACUAAUACGUGAGAUUAUAGAAAACUGCUAGUAACAUUGUAACCAAUUGAAUGCAAAAGAAACAAUUCAGUUGUCUUCUAUUUAAGUCAGACAUUUAGGGAAACAAUUGCCAAAAUGUAAAACAAUGCACCUAUUUUUUUAAAAAUAUGCAUUUGUUGCUAUAAUAUUUAAAUAUUUUACUUUCUAAUAUGGUAAGAUACUAGUAAAGUGAUUUGGGGCCCUCAAUCUUUAAGAAUGUGAAGGGAUUCUCUGAGGCCACAAAGUUUAAGAAAUGGCUACUCUAGCACAAACGCACAUAGUAAAUACUCAAGUACCUGUUGAAUGACUUCAUGGAGUUAAAGUGACUCCUGGUAUUAAAUCUGUAUGGCUGGGAUAAUGGGCAUGCUAGGACAGGAAGCAGAUUUCCUUAACUUCACCACUGUAACUCAUUAACAAACAUGUUAGCCUGAGACAGAAGUAUUAAGGGGCGACAGGAAAGCCUUUCAUAAGCAAUGUGAUGCUUUUUUUCACAUUAUUCAACAUGGUUUAAAAUUUGGUA